AUCGUCCAGAUACGGCCCAGAGCGUGGAGACACCGUAUGGCCACUGAGUCCCUGAAUCCCGUCAGCGGUGAGGUGCAUGAAGCCGAGACGCUGAACGGGGACGACCAAUGAUGUUCAGCUGCUAGAGCUGGCUGCUGCUGCGGGCGAGGUGCAGGCUAACGCAGGCUUAACGGACAGAGGCGGCUCACAUGGCUUGUGGGUAAGAGUUAACACAGAGUGAUUGUCAGUCUGUUGGCUUACGCCUUUGGUAACUCAACCAGCGAGCCAGGUCGCUGUUGAGUACCAUAUAGGCUAGGCGAGGCCCAUGCGGCUCAUCCGCCGGGGAUGGCGAACCACACGGUGACACCUCAGCACACACGGCAUGCCGGACCGGGGGUCCUAGGAGGUUGCGCCGAACCACGUACGCGUUGGCACCCGACAGCUGUCAUGCGCUACAACCGAACCGGUAAUCCUCCGCCACCGGGCACACAGUUCCCCCCCACGACUGUAGGAGACGAGGAGAAGAGUCUGCGAAGUCGUAACCCCCAAGCACGGUGGCGACAAGUGCGUGCCCCCCCUGAAUGCAAACAGGGGAACCAAAAGCAAGAGACAGCACACAUAUCAUGCGGAAUGACAUGCGAGAGUGUUCGUGCCACGCGACAGACACAAACUGUAACCAAACUAGCAUAGCACACGCGUCACUAGUCAGGUCAGUCCUCCACGCUAGCCACUGCGAGCUAGCUCCAAGCGGAUGGCUGAUGAGAACACGCUGUGAAGCGAGCAGCGGCACGCUGCUUGCAACUGCAAUCCAGCAAUGACACCCGAGAUACAGGGUAUCGGGCACACGAGCGGCGGUGCAUGCCCCGCCCUGCAGGCGCCAGUCGGGCCAUGCCGCAGCGGCCACCAAGUCGGCCCCCCAGGAUGCGCACUGGGGUCGUCCUGCUAAGGCUCUGGCUAGCGCGAUGCGAGCUCCACGUGGGUGGUGGUGCGCCGGGGCACAGAGUAGAGGAAGCCGAUGGGGACGAGGUACGCUGAGGCUUAAGGCUGGCUGACCCGGGGUGAAACAACCGAGAAGAGAAGUAGCAGGUGACUGUCCAGGAAGACGAAGAAGUUGCUGUUGGCGGC
rnacentral:lncRNA from 1 species